rnacentral:rRNA from 1 species
GAUGAACGCUAGCGGCAGGCCUAACACAUGCAAGUCGAGGGAGAGGUUAUCUUCGGGUAACCAAAACCGGCGCACGGGUGCGUAACGCGUAUACAAUCUGCUUUUCACAUAGGGAUAGCCCGAAGAAAUUUGGAUUAAUACCUAAUGGUAUAUAAGAGCGGCAUCGUUUUUAUAUUAAAGCUACGGUGGUGAAAGAUGAGUAUGCGUUCUAUUAGCUAGUUGGAGAGGUAACGGCUCCCCAAGGCGACGAUAGAUAGGGGUUCUGAGAGGGAUGUCCCCCACACUGGUACUGAGAUACGGACCAGACUCCUACGGGAGGCAGCAGUGAGGAAUAUUGGACAAUGGUCGGAAGACUGAUCCAGCCAUGCCGCGUGCAGGAUGAAGGUCCUAUGGAUUGUAAACUGCUUUUGUAAGGGAAGAAUAAGGAGUACGUGUACUUUGAUGACGGUACCUUACGAAUAAGCAUCGGCUAACUCCGUGCCAGCAGCCGCGGUAAUACGUAGGGCGCGAGCGUUGUCCGGAAUUAUUGGGCGUAAAGCGUGCGCAGGCGGUUAUGUAAGACAGUUGUGAAAUCCCCGGGCUCAACCUGGGAACUGCAUCUGUGACUGCAUAGCUAGAGUACGGUAGAGGGGGAUGGAAUUCCGCGUGUAGCAGUGAAAUGCGUAGAUAUGCGGAGGAACACCGAUGGCGAAGGCAAUCCCCUGGACCUGUACUGACGCUCAUGCACGAAAGCGUGGGGAGCAAACAGG